rnacentral:tRNA from 1 species
GGCCUCGUAGCUCAGCUGGUAAAGCAUGUGCUGUACGAAAGCGCAGGCGGGUGGAUUCGAAUCCCACCGAGGAUA